rnacentral:snRNA from 1 species
GUACUCACCUGGCAGGGAGAUACCAUGAUCACGAGGGUGGUUUUCCCGGGGCGAGGCUUGUCCAUUACACUCUGGAUGUGCUGAUCCCGCGACUUCCCCAAAUGUGGGAAACUCAACUGCAUAAUUUGUGGUAGUGGGGGACUGCGUUCACGCUCUCCCCUG